rnacentral:rRNA from 1 species
ACGCGUCGAACCUUACCUACCCUUGACAUGUCUGGAAUCCUGAAGAGAUUUGGGAGUGCUCGAAAGAGAGCCAGAACACAGGUGCUGCAUGGCCGUCGUCAGCUCGUGUCGUGAGAUGUUGGGUUAAGUCCCGCAACGAGCGCAACCCUUGUCAUUAGUUGCUACGAAAGGGCACUCUAAUGAGACUGCCGGUGACAAACCGGAGGAAGGUGGGGAUGACGUCAGGUCAUCAUGGCCCUUAUGGGUAGGG